AACCUAUUUAUCUAACAUUUUAUAAUAUUUUUUUAAUUUAGUGUUUCUUUUCUUUUAUAAUUAACCCACUGCCCUCCCAUCUCAUAUACGCCAUUUGCAGACCACCUCCUUCCCUCCGAGCGUACGUACUAUAUGGACGAUCCUUUUUCAAAGAAUUUUUAUUUUUUAUUUUUGAGGUAUAAAGUUUAUGUUAACAGUUUUAUAACAAGCAAAAUAAAUAAACAAAGGGGGUCUUUAUAAGCUUGGGGUGGAUUGGAAAAUUUUCAAAAAAUAAUUAAACGUUCAACCCCUCCUUUUAUUAAGGACUCGAGAGUACAUUAUAAAUCAGUCAAAACUAUUAUUAUUAUUAAAGUUAUUCACUAAUAUAUCAUGCACUUACUUCAUCACGCAUCAUAUUAUUAAUCACUAAUAUUGUAUGCGUGGGCUUCACCGAUCAUAUUUUGUAAAAUCAAUUCACCCAAAGCGUCAAUAAUGACACAUAUAAUGAUUGUGACAUAUAAAUACAUAAUACAGUCAUUAUUUCUAAAAUCAAUUGAUGUUUCACGUCAUUUGAUUUUACAAAGAAUGAUUGUAUCAUGUUUCUACAUAAUCAUAUUUUGUAAUUGUAUUAUGUAUAUAAUCAAAUUUUGUAAUUAUUAUAUUUUUUUAUAGUCAUAUUUUCAAAAAUCAAUUGACGCUUCACGUCAAUUAAUUUUACAAAAUAUGAUUGGUUGUUAUUUAUUUAAGCCCAUGCAUAUUUCUAGUUAAUAAAUCAAUAUAAAAGAGCAGGUUUCUUGAAUUAUUAGAAUCAUUUAGCAGUUUCUAUUUUUCCAGUUAACAAACAACGAAGAGAUAUAACUUCUAAAAUUUUUUAUCGCAAUGAUUGCGUCUCUGGUAUUCAUUUUAUUAAUAGUAAGCUCUGCGUGUUUACAUAAAAAUCCAAAUGUCAUUUCUUUGAAAGAGGAUUCCGGUUUAUCCAUCGAAGAUCAAAAAGAGACCGCUACUGUAAAGACCCAACUGUGAAUGAAAAGCGAUUGUUUGAUUGUGAUCACAACUGCUGGUACAAUAAUUGGAAACACCGUGACCAGAGAGCAAAAAACGAAAAUAUGUUUAAUCGCCGUUGCUCGUAUGCCCAUUGGUUUGGUAGAUGCUACUGCUAUGGUCCUCCUCGCUGCUAAUUUUUCAACGUUGUUAAAAUUUUUUUGUAUCACAUAAUUUAAUACAUUUAGAUGUAUAAUUAUAUAGAUACAUCUAUUAUAUUUGAAAA